rnacentral:rRNA from 1 species
UACGUAGGGGGCAAGCGUUAUCCGGAUUUACUGGGUGUAAAGGGAGCGUAGACGGCUGUGCAAGUCAGAAGUGAAAGCCCGGGGCUCAACUCCGGGACUGCUUUUGAAACUGCGGAGCUGGAGUGCAGGAGAGGUAAGCGGAAUUCCUGGUGUAGCGGUGAAAUGCGUAGAUAUCAGGAGGAACACCAGUGGCGAAGGCGGCUUACUGGACUGUAACUGACGUUGAGGCUCGAAAGCGUGGGGAGCAAACAGG